rnacentral:lncRNA from 1 species
GAGAGAGAGAGAGAGAGAGAGAGAGAGAGAGAGAGAGAGGCAGGCAUAGGGGGGCAGGCAAAGCACUUACAUACAUAAUAUAAUACAUACAUAAUAUAAUUUUUAAAGCAUGUUUGAAAACUUCCUCAUGUAAGUCAAACUUUAUGACAUCCCAGAAUUCACACAGGUGAGAAAUCAUUUUAGAGUAAAGAAUGUGGGAAUCUUUAUACCAAAAUUCGAAUUUCAAUAAGCAUCAGAGAAUUCAUGGAUGAGCAACAAGAAGCCUUACCAUAAGAACCCAACCUUUACUUGACAUCAGAGAACACAUUCAGGUGAGGCUGCACAUCUCGGAGACUCAAGCUUGUUCAUUGCAUACAUGAGGGCUGUAUAUCCAGGAAGCUCCAGCCCCUGUGAGCACAUUGUACCUGGGAGACGUCAGCCCCUCUUAUCACACAGCUCCAGUGUACACAACACAUCUAAGAAGCUCCAGCCUCACCUGUUGCCUUGGUGACCAAAGCAUUCCUAAGUGGCUCUUGCACCUCAAUAAGCACAAGGUGCCUGGGAGGCUCCAGUCCCAUCCAGUUUGUGUGUUAUGCCCAGAAGCCUCCAAACCCAUCCAGGUGAGGGCCGUAUGUCUAGGAGACUGUUUGAGCACGGUUCAUACCUGGGAGAUUCCGAGUCAGCCUGUGAUCCUGGUAAGCCUAGGGUGCUGGGGAGGCUCUGUCCCUUGGCUUAUUUGCAAAGCAGAAGCUUUAUGUCUGGGAAGACCUAGCCCUGCCCAUCACCUCAAUGAGCACAGCAUUCCAGGAAUACACUGGCUUUACUCAUUACCCUGACAAGCACAGCACACCUGGAAGUAUCCAGACCAAACCAUCUUGGUGAAGAUUGUGUGACCAGUCAUGGUGAUACAGCAUGACUAUGAUGCUUUAGUUCUGACGCCUGCAUGAAAACAACAGAAGACCUGAGGACUCAGAAUAAGAGGGAAUUGAAAGAAAGAAGAAAACAAUUCAACCAAAGGCCUAAGUCCACAUUGCAAGUCCCAAUAUAAAAGCACAUUUCUAUAAAAGGCAAAC